CCCACCGGCUGUUCCAGCAGCAUCUACCCUCCAACUCCCACCAGGAAGACAAACGGAGGACAAUCUUGAAAUACAAAAAUUUCCUCCUUGGAAUUUGCUGCUGCUGCUGCUGUCUCCGCCGCCACUGCUGCUGCCGCGGUGCAGUGCCAAGACUCUCGGAAUAAAUAAAAGAGGGCUACAGUGUGUGUCUAGCUACAGCCGGCUAAUAGCUAUUUUAGUUGGCCGUAUAUUUCGAAGAUCACAGAUGAAGUGGGGACGCCUGUCUUCUUCGUUUGGUCAGCGUGUGAAACAAUAAUCCCCGUAACAAAAAGAAGGGAGAUGGGGGAGAAAAAAAAUCCUAACAUGAAUCAGAAGAAAUAGUAUCUAGCACCCCCCCUCCCCAGCCCCCCCCAAACCAACCUCUCCCCCCCUUCCCCCGAUCCCUCUCUCCCUCUCUCCACACGCUUGCAGGCGCGGACACGCGCGCGCGCACACAGACACACAGACACACACAUAGACACACACACACUGUACUGUACUGUGUAUUUUCGGAAGAGGAGGUGGCUUUCGGAAGAGGAGGCAGCGGUGGUGUCGGGGAGGGGGGAAUCUCUUUCCCCGUCUGGAGAUGGUUGUGCUAUUCCUCUUUGCCUUGCUCUGGAUGGUGGAGGGGGCUUUUUGCCAGCUCCAUUACACGGUGCAGGAAGAGCAGGAGCAUGGCACGUUCGUGGGGAAUAUCGCCGAGGACCUGGGCUUGGACAUUACAAAACUUUCGGCUCGGCGCUUCCAGACGGCGCCCAACUCCCGCAGCCCUUACCUGGAGCUUAACCUAGAAACCGGGGUGCUCUACGUGAACGAGAAGAUCGACCGGGAGCAGAUCUGCAAGCAGAGCCCCUCCUGCCUGCUGCACCUGGAGGUCUUCCUGGAGAACCCCCUGGAGCUGUUCCGGGUGGAGAUCGAGGUGCUGGACAUCAACGACAACCCGCCCUCCUUCCCGGAGCCCGACCUCACCGUGGAGAUCUCGGAGAGCGCCACGCCGGGCACCCGCUUCCCGCUGGAGAGCGCAUUCGACCCCGACGUGGGCACCAACUCCCUGCGCACCUACGAGAUCACCCCCAACAGCUACUUCUCCCUCGACGUGCAGACGCAGGGCGACGGGAACCGCUUCGCCGAGCUGGUGCUGGACCAGCCGCUGGACCGGGAGCAGCAGGCGGUGCACCGCUACGUGCUGACGGCGGUGGACGGCGGGCAGCCCCAGCAGCGCACCGGCACCGCCCUGCUCACCGUCAGGGUGCUGGACUCCAACGACAACGUGCCCGCCUUCGAGCAGCCCGUCUACACCGUGUCGCUGCCGGAGAACUCGCCGCCGGGCACCCUGGUGCUGCAGCUCAACGCCACGGACCCCGACGAGGGGCAGAACGGCGAGAUCAUCUACUCCUUCAGCAGCCACAUCUCGGCCCGCGCCCGGGAGCUCUUCGGCAUCGCGCCGCGCACCGGGCGCCUGGAGGUGAGCGGCGAGCUGGACUACGAGGAGAGCAGCGUGUACCAGGUGUACGUCCAAGCCAAGGACCUGGGGCCCAACGCCGUGCCCGCCCACUGCAAAGUGCUGGUGCGGGUGCUGGACGCCAACGACAACGCGCCCGAGAUCAGCUUCUCCACCGUCAAGGAGGCGGUGAGCGAGGCGGCGGCGCCGGGCACCGUGGUGGCCCUUUUCAGCGUCUCGGACCGCGACUCGGAGGAGAACGGGCAGGUGCAGUGCGAGCUGCUGCAGGGCGACGCGCCCUUCCGCCUCAAGAGCUCCUUCAAGAACUACUACACCAUCGUCACCGAGGGGCCGCUGGACCGCGAGCAGCCGGGCGGCGACGCCUACACGCUCACCGUGGUGGCCCGGGACCACGGCGAGCCGCCGCUCAGCACCAGCAAGUCCAUCCAGGUGCGGGUGAGCGACGUGAACGACAACGCGCCGCGCUUCAGCCAGCCCGUGUACCAGGUGUACGUGAGCGAGAACAACGUGCCCGGCGCCUACAUCUACGCCGUCAGCGCCACCGACCGCGACCAGGGCGCCAACGCCCGCCUCGCCUACUCCAUCCUGGAGAGCCAGAUCCAGGGCAUGUCCGUCUUCACCUACGUCUCCAUCAACUCCGAGAACGGGUUUCUCUACGCCCUCCGCUCCUUCGACUACGAGCAGCUCAAAGAGUUCAGCUUCCAGGUGGAGGCCCGCGACGCGGGCGAGGAGCCGCAGCCGCUGGCCGGCAACGCCACCGUCCACAUCAUCGUGGUGGACCAGAACGACAACGCCCCCGCCAUCGUCAGCCCCCUGCCCGGCCGCAACGGCACCCCGGCGCGGGAGGCGCUGCCCCGCGGCGCCGAGCCGGGAUACCUGGUGAGCCGGGUGGCGGCCGUGGACGCCGACGACGGCGAGAACGCCCGCCUCACCUACAGCAUCGCGCGGGGCAACGAGGCCGGGCUGUUCCGCAUGGACUGGCGCUCCGGGGAGCUGCGGACGGCGCGCAGGGUGCCGGCCAAGCGCGACCCGCAGCGCCCCUACGAGCUGGUCAUCGAGGUGCGCGACCACGGGCAGCCGCCGCUCUCCUCCACCGCCGCCGUGCAGGUGGUGCUGGUGGACGGCGCGGGAGAGCGGUCCGGAGGCGGCGGCGGCCCGGCCGCGGGCACCGGGGCGGGGGGCGGCGGCGGCGGCUCCGGCGAGCAUCGCCCCAGCCGCUCCGGGGGGGAUAACUCGCUUGACCUCACCCUCAUCCUCAUCAUCGCCCUGGGCUCCGUCUCCUUCAUCUUCCUGCUGGCCAUGAUCGUCCUGGCGGUGCGCUGCCAGAAGGAGAAGAAGCUCAAUAUCUACACCUGCCUGGCCAGCGACUGCUGCCUGGGCUGCUGCUGCUGCUGCCCCUGCUGCAGCCGGCAGGCGCGGGCCCGCAAGAAGAAGCUCAGCAAGUCGGACAUCAUGCUGGUGCAGAGCUCCAACGUGCCGAGCAACCCCGCGCAGGUGCCGGUGGAGGAGUCGGGCAGCUUCGGCUCCCACCACCACAACCAGAACUACUGCUACCAAGUCUGCCUCACCCCCGAGUCCGCCAAGACCGACCUGAUGUUCCUCAAGCCCUGUAGCCCCUCUCGCAGCACCGACGCCGAGCACAACCCCUGCGGGGCCAUCGUCACCGGCUACGCCGACCAGCAGCCCGACAUCAUCUCCAACGGCAGCAUUUUGUCCAGCGAGACAAAGCAUCAGCGUGCUGAGCUCAGUUAUCUAGUUGACAGACCCCGACGAGUAAACAGUUCUGCAUUCCAGGAAGCAGACAUAGUAAGCUCUAAGGACAGUGGUCAUGGAGACAGUGAGCAAGGAGACAGUGAUCAUGAUGCCACUAAUCGAGGUCAAUCCUCUGUUUCUUUUUCUUUCAUGCUUGCAGGCAUGGACCUCUUCUCCAAUUGCACAGAGGAAUGUAAAGCACUGGGCCACUCAGAUCGGUGCUGGAUGCCUUCCUUUGUUCCAUCCGAUGGACGCCAAGCUGCAGAUUACCGCAGCAAUCUGCACGUACCUGGCAUGGACUCCGUUCCAGACACUGAAGUGUUUGAAACACCAGAAGCCCAGCCCGGGGCAGAAAGGUCCUUCUCCACCUUUGGCAAAGAGAAGGCCCUUCACAACAGUCUGGAGAGGAAGGAGUUCGAUGGACUGCUGUCUAAUACACGAGCGCCUUACAAACCACCAUAUUUGAUGGGAUACUGUAGGAAAUGGCCUUCUUUUGCUGAAAGCUAAAAUACAAGGAUUAAGCCAUUAGGAGAAGAGGUAAAAUCCAGAGUAGAGCUGAUUUUGGUGUGGAUAGCCACAAUCAAAAUAUAUACAGCCAAGAAAAUGCUUCUGAUGCUUCUCCCUGCACCCUUGCAAAGGAAAAUAGCUGAUAUAAAAAUAUCACAUGAUGGGGGUGGUGAAAAGCCUGAAAACAGACGAAGAAAGGCAGCUCAUAAUAAGAAAUCUGAUGCCACCUGGAAAAUUUGUACACCAUAGAAGAAAAAAAAAUGCCACCUUCUAGGGAAGUACAUACUUGGAAAAAGAUGCAUUGUAACUGAUGUGGGGGUUUUGGGGCUGUUUUUUAGGUUUUUUUACAAAAAUCCAGAUAAUUGACAUGUGGGGCCUCUGGGUCUUGCAGGACUUGCCCUUGAUGAAGCCAUGUAAGAUGUCUUGAAUCACUUCCCUGUCCUCCAUGUGCCUUAUUAGACCUUCAGGAGGAUCUUCCCAGAAUGUUCCAUGAUCUUCCCAGGCCCAUAGGUGAGGCUGACAGGCAAAGGACCUCAUAAAUGCUUCCAAAUGGAGAGGUGGAUCUCCAGGGUCUUCUCUGCUACCCAUAUGCAGUUCUGUGAGCUUUUCUUCCUGGAGUGAUAUCCUCAUGGGUGGUGGCUUGGCAGCUUGCUUUGAAAACUGUAUUUUUAGAGCUGUUCACAUGCUUUAUGAAGACAAAUUAAUCAUAUCCAAAUAAACAGUGAAAGAAGAGUAUGAAGAAGGGUAUGGAGAGAAAAAAGAAUGAUAAAUAGAAUGACUGCAGAUAUUAUAUCAGAACAUGUGGGCUUUGAUUUUUGUAGUUACUUUUCAUCAUGGGAGAGGUCUUUGUCAGAGCUUACAGAGUUUUGAAAACAUUUUAAUGGAAUUUUUUUUGAAGGAUUUUUCAGUCAUCAAGAGGCAAGGGGAGAUCAUAAAGGGAAAGACCAUGGCACACCGUGCAACAGCUUACAAGUGAGUUGUAGCAAUUACAUUAGGCCACUGGGUCCCUAAACCGAGCGCUCCGGGCCAGAGUGGAGGCAGAGGCUGCCCUCCCUCUCUUCCUGCGGGGAGGUGAAAAGCUGGGAGCACCCCACCUCUGUGGGGUCAGAUGCAAAAUCAACUUGUCUGCACAGAGCCACAUCAGCUGCGAGGGAAGCUGUCUGCACAGCCACGGUACCUAACUGCUGCUGUAAGCUGGACUCAAAGAUGCUGAUGUGUGUAACUGUAGUGAUGGGUUUAUGGAGAACAAUCUACUCAUGUUUUCCAUCUUGAUUCAUGGUUCACUCAUGAUGGUUUGAUGAUCCUGAAAGAACUAUGACCUUCUUCUUGAAAGCAUGCAGGGAGUCCUGGAAUCACUUGCGGGCACACAACAGGAAUACCAACAAGGUUACAAACAUAAACAGGAAAUUCUGUGAGGCUGGAUUUUGUCACACUGGAGUCAAGGGCCAGCUUUGUCACUGACUUGCAUAAGUGAGCCCUAAGUGAACUCAAGAGAGGCAGAAUGGGUAAAAAAGGAAACAUUUUUUCAUUUCACUACAUGUCUCAGUGCUGGUUUUCUAAGAAGACUUUCCUGUCCCUAAUAAAUUGUACAUGGUAGUAAAACUGUUUUCAAAUCAUAAUUUUGGCAGAUGUUUGCCAUUAAAAACUUGUGGAAUAAUGCAGUGACUUUUUUUUACCAAGUUUCUUUACAAAUAAUGAACCAUAUACAUUUGUAAUCGGUGCUUGUUGGAAGAAAAAAAUCAACUUUUUAACAAAGUGUACGUCCAUACAGGUAGUCUGAUUUGUGUAGAGACUACAUAAAGAGAAGAAAAUGUAAUUGGAUCUCUGAGACUGAACAUUACAUGGUAAAUUCUCAAAGUAAAACUUCUAGUUUUUCAUUUACUCAUGAUUUUCAUCUGUGUUUGGCAAAAUGGGGGCUUGUCUGGAGGAAACUGCAAUAAUUGGCACACUACUACUAAUGUUGUCAUUGUAAUAAUUCAUAUUUCAAAUCAAUUAAAAACAACUGACUGCAAACAAAAUUAGUAUAAUUAAAAAUAUUUCUUUGUAUCAUCAUCAGAACCGGAGACACAGCACAGAUGUUCUCAGCAUACCUCAGUAUGUAUUUUAAACUUCAUAAUGUUUUCAUUAAACCAACUAUUAAGCAGGUAUAAGAAUUUUGAAAAAGAGUGCCAUUCUCUAACAAACCAAAACUGCUCCUUUCUUGUCAUUUCCUUGUCAGAUGAGCCAUGGGAACAAACUUACUUUUGAUGGGGACAAACUCAUUUUGAUGGGGGUGAAAAGGAGAAGUUCAGAGUGAAGUGCCUGCCCUGUCUGUGCCUGUGGGACUACAGUGCUGGGAGGACUUUUGUGCAUAAGACCACCUUCCUCUGAAAAUGACCAUUUGCUCCUUAUUCGAGGGCAUUUUAACCUCAAAUACAGCAUUUAGCACACCAAGGAGCCAUGCAAAGAUUUGGGAGGGUUUUUACUGUGUGGUUGACAUACUUGAAUACAAAGAGAGAACCUGUUUUGUGUUCAGUUGUGAUUAAAAAUAAUGUGGUAUGUUUUUCCAGUCUACUUUGGAUAAAUUCAGUACUCUUAUUCAUGUUAAUAAAAGUCAUGCAAUAUGAGCACAAGCCAAGACUGAAAUUAUCCCGUAGUGGCAUUUAAAUUAGUAGAGAAAAAAUAUGUUCACUCCCUGUAAUACUGGAUUCUUUUUGCCCCUUUCUUUUUAAUUUCUAUUAAUACAAAUUAUUUGAGCAUUAGUAUAUUGGUCUUAAUUAGCUUUCAUCUCUCCCCUUUUGAUUUAAAUAUUGCCAAGCUCCAUUAAACUGGCUGUGUGAUUGCCAGAAAAUGGUCUACUACUGAAUUCCAAGUGUGUGUCUUUGUCACAGUGUAAAUUGAAAGGUCACAACAGGUCAUCUAAUUGCUUGGUACAUAUUCUAUUAAUUGCACUUUUAAUGUGUAAAGCACACUGAAAUUAUCAGAUAAAGGAUGCUACAUUGUGGUAAAAUAUCAGGCAUGUCUGAAUCAUAGUCAGAAAACAUAACAAAAUGUUUCUAAUAUCUGCUCCAAAAAUUUUGAUGUGGGUCCAUUUCCCUUUUAUUUUAAUUGACAGUGACUUGUUCACCUCCAUUGCUUCUGCUGUCAGCUCCUUUUCUUCUCAGAGAAGGGAUACUUGGAAUAUCCAAGGGCAGCUAAGUGCCCUUCCCUUUUAUUUGAUGGUUAUGCUCUGUUCAGGCAAGAAUGUAGGGAUUCUGUGGUACUUCUCAGAAUUUGUCUUUCUUAAUUCCUUCAGAAGGUGUGUUUAUACUGUAUCAUUUCUCUAAAGAAACACUGUCAAGAUGAAAAAUGGAAGGCCUAGGAGUUAGGAAAAAAAUUAAGAUGGUGAGGCUCUGCUUUAGCUUUAUCUAGUAUCUGCAAAAAUUGAUGAAUAACAGCUGCAGAAUUGGUAUUUGCCUAAUCCUGCAAAGUGUUGGCUCCUCUGAGUGAUAAAAUGCACCCUAAAUUCCCAGUGUGUAAGAGAAUAUAUUUUUAUGCUUUUUAAUUAAUCAAAAACUUACUAUCUUAAGCCAAAGGCUCAUCACUCAAUUUCCACUUUCCACAAUCAUUAUUACUUCCUGAUGCAUAUGUGGAGCUUAUGCAUCACUACUUCCAACAAUAUGUCAUCUUUCAACCAGAUAUCAUAAACCAAAGAGCAGUGAGACAAAAUUUGUUUUAAAGCAACUCACUCAGCAUCAGAUUGGAGCUCUGCUCACUUUUUAGGAUGCAUUUAGUACUCUAGUAUAUACCUUUAAGAAGGUGAAUGGUUUGUUUCCUGUUUCAAUUUAUGAAAUGAUCAAAUUUAUUUUUUAAAUACAAAGCAGAAAAAAAAUUAGUGUCUUACUAAGGUUAUGAAGGUUAUGAAAAAGUUUUCAAAUUGCUUAGUAUUUGUAGGAAUUGUUAUGGCAGGAAAGCUGAGCAACCAUUUUGACUGCAGUAUGACUGUACUUAUGUACAGUUAGAAAAGAAAGAUAGCAGGACAAACAUUUAAAAAAACCUAUUAAUUGCAAUAAUGUUCUUUUGCAAAAGAAUUCCAUCUUUUCUUCAGAAACCUUGGAACAAUUUCAAAGAUCAAAAUUUCUUUUAUUUUGCUAUAAGUUAUAUGUGUCUAAAUUAAACUACCUUUUCCCUAAAAAUUAAUUUUUAAUGCAGACAUUUUCAAAACUGAGUUAUUCAUCUCAGCAGCCAGAAAAAAGACAACAGUUCAAUUGCUCUGUUAUUACUGAUGAUGCUGAAGAUAAGUAUUGAUCCCCAAAACAAAUUCACUUUCUUAUUUGUUACAUAUAACUGAAUGUGAAAAAAAGUGGAAAAUAUUAGAAAUAAAGUGGCAGCCUUGACAUAAGGGUCAGAUUUGUAAAGGAACUUCCAUAUAUGAAUAAAAUGCUAUGCAAAUGGAAUUUAGACACAGAAUUAAAAAAAAAAAAAAGAAAAAAAAAAAACCAACCCAAAAAACGCACACCAUCCUUUCCACAGGAAUUUUCAUUCAAUUCCAGAUUCACUUCAGCUGGAACACAUAUGCAGGUACCAGAAAGGUCACAGACCUGCAGCAGUUAAGUAACUGCGCUAAGCUCUUCAAAAUAUUCCCAGGAAGUGCAUUUCCAGGCCCCCUGUGAACAUAUUCUUGAAACAGAAUGUUAUCAUCUUGUGCAUAAAUAUUUGUGCCGGGAAGACUUUUCUGUAAAUAAAGUUUGGAACGUAAUUGUGCAAUAAAAAAGAGGUAUGUUGCUUUUAUGGAUAAGGAGUGUUUCCAAAGUGUUGACAACCAGCCUAGACAAAAAAACAAGGUUUUCAGAGUAUAGAUGGAUGCACUAGUAAUUUUAGCUGUGUCAGGAUGUUACUUGCCAAAGUAACAAAUUUUAUAUAUUCCUGUGGUAGAACAACAUUUGGUUCUGUAGUAUGAUUUCAGAAUUGUUUUCCAAUAUUUAAGCUGGUGUAAUUCAAUAUAGAUUAUUGAGCAGAAUAUUGUCUGUACUCUUCUUAUAAACUAUCAGUCUGCACUGUGAAGUUAUUUCUAUUUUGUCUUUGUUGAGAAGAGACUGCCCCAAGAGAUAGGUCCCGAAAGGCCUGACAAUAUCACUUUUGAAACUAUUUACAUUCCUGACACUGCAUAAUAAAAUUUUUAUUCUGUUCUUUUGUGACUUUUUUAUUGCUUGCUUUUGAAACAUCAUGUUUUAUUAUCUUUCAGUCCUGUUAUCAAUCUUGAGCAAUAAGAUGACUGUAAUGACCUGUUUUAAUAAGCCUAUUACAGAUUUCUAUGUUGAUUUGACAUACCUAAGUGUAGUAAAAUGGUUUAUGAGGAACAAACAGCUGAGUAAUAUCCCAUUCAUAUCCUUGGAGAUGAAGUGAUUGUAGAUGAGAAAUAAAUAAUUGAAGAAGA